UAAUCAAGAUGAGGUUCAUAGUGCCUAUCGUAGUUUUAACGUUUCUAAUUUUCGAGGUGGUUGCGGUUUCUCGAUUCGAAUCCAAGCAAUUAGGAUCAGAAGAGCCAGCAGUGGAGUACACCUUGGGGAUAAUUCGCUGCCUUAAAGAGGGCCUCAAACCAUUUGAUUUUAAUGUGCUGAAGACGCUUUGGCGCAUCUAUUGGCUUCUGUUUAGUUUCACUCUUUGCCUAAUACCUCUGCUCAUAAUAAGUAAUGACUAUGUAACCGAAUGCGUUUUAAGAAUUAGUGACCUAGAUGAUAUAAUGUUUGGGAUGUCAACAUGGGAUUAUUAUAUGAAAGUAGAUGAAAUUCUAGCACAGGCUACGCUUCCACCGAGCGUAAAAAAAUGUGUGGAGUUCGAUAUAUGGUCUAGCCCUGCCCCGUCCACUACUACCACCACAACGCUGUGAAACUUUCGCCAUUUCCGUAUAAUCGUAAUGUAACCAUUGUAGAUCUUCUGUUAAAAAUAUAAUAUAGCCUUAUU